rfam:Agrilus planipennis Contig2455, whole genome shotgun sequence.
AUUUUGCUUAAAAAUUAAAUAUCUACUGCUACAGCCUUCACGUCCGGCUGAAGAGGACCUCAAUUAAUAGGUCCUAUAACGGCCUGAGGUAGAGGGGUUUUAGUCGGUAGGCCCGAGGAGACCUUCCUCGGGAAUCCGACACUACCAGCCAUAUGGAUGGCUGGGUGUCUUUUGAAGAUUUCCCCUCUUCCACGAAA